rnacentral:rRNA from 1 species
UUCUUUAAGUCUGGGGUGAAAGGUUCAGGGCUUAACCCGAACAGUGCCUUGGAUACUGAGGAACUUGAGUGCCGAAGAGGAAAGCGGAAUUCCUGGUGUAGCGGUGAAAUGCGUAGAUAUCAGGAGGAACACCGAUGGCGAAGGCAGCUUUCUGGUCGGUAACUGACGCUGAGGUGCGAAAGCGUGGGGAGCGAACGGGAUUAGAUACCCCGGUAGUCCACGCCGUAAACGAUGAGUGCUAGGUGUCGGGGGUAUCGACCCCUCCGGUGCCGCCGCUAACGCAUUAAGCACUCCGCCUGGGGAGUACGGCCGCAAGGUUGAAACUCAAAGGAAUUGACGGGGGCCCGCACAAGCGGUGGAGCAUGUGGUUUAAUUCGUCACUAACCGAAGAACCUUACCCAGGCUUGACAUCGCGUGAAAGGCUGUGAAAGCAGUCCCCCUCGCAAGAGGCACAAAGACAGGUGUUGCAUGGCUGUCGUCAGCUCGUGUCGUGAGAUGUUGGGUUAAGUCCCGCAACGAGCGCAACCCUCACCCCAUGUUGCCAGCGUCAAGUCGGGCACUCUUGGGGAACUGCCCCGUGCAAGCGGGAGGAAGUGGGGAUGACGUCAAGUCGGCAUGGCCCUUACGCUGGGGUACACACAUGUACAAUGGACGGCAACAAACGGUACCGAGACCGCGAGGUGGAGGCAAUCCGAGAAAUACGUCCUCAGUUGGGAUUGCAGGCUGCAACUCGCCUGCAUGAACGUGGAAUCGC